CACGUAGGGUGCGAGCGUUGUCCGGAAUUAUUGGGCGUAAAGAGCUCGUAGGCGGUGUGUCGCGUCGGCCGUGAAAACUUGCAGCUUAACUGUGGGCGUGCGGUCGAUACGGGCAUCACUGGAGUUCGGCAGGGGAGACUGGAAUUCCUGGUGUAGCGGUGAAAUGCGCAGAUAUCAGGAGGAACACCGGUGGCGAAGGCGGGGUCUCUGGGCCGAUACUGACGCUGAGGAGCGAAAGCGUGGGGAGCGAACAGG
rnacentral:rRNA from 1 species